UGACAUAAAAUAUUCGAGGUUCUUGUGAUCUGUUGUCGUGUGACGUAUUUUUCAAUCUGAGAAUACACCAGGUAUCUAGCUGUAGAGAGUUUAGGUUUCCUUUGUAUAUAAUGCCUUAGCUCCCCAAAAAAAAAGCUCUUUGUUUUGUAUAAAAUGUCAAAAUAUAUUAAAAUUCUUCAAAAUAUAUUUCUUCCCGCCAAAGACUUUUUUACAUCAGACUUUGGAAAUUCAUAUAUGUUGAUCCAACCGUUCACUUUGUUUCAAAUUUCUUCCUAAGCUAGAUGCUAUACUUAACUUGUACCACAAAAAACUUGAACUGUACAUCUAUCACCGAUCGUUCGGCAUCUUAGAAACCCUAGCAGGUGCACAAAACCCUAACUUACAAGCACCCGAAAACUAUUUUCCUUAUAUCUCUUAAACCCAAGCUCCAAAUCACACAAAACUUAUGUAGAAAGCUUUAUAACAAGGUUACACACAAUCUUGGAAAUUUUGAGCUAAAACCUCAUCAAAUUGUCUAAGAUAUAGCUCAAAUCACAAGCACAAGUAAUUCGGGCUACUUACUACCCUUAGAUAUCAAGCACUGACUUCAACUGCCAAUAUCUCCUUCAUCAAAGCUUGGAAUUCGAUAAACAGUAUGCACAAAUUGUAGCCGAAAAAUUGCUCUCUUCAAAUCCGAUCGCCGAUCCUCGUUUGCUGUCCGUACGCGUGCGGUAUGCUCAAAAGAGUGACAGUACGUUGAAAACUUACACCUUAACUUUGAGCGCCUAUAACUUCUUCAUAUAAACCCCAAAUGACACAAAUUUUGCACCCAAACCAUAUCCAAAAACCUAAACCUUCUGACCUUAGCCUCAAAAACUCGAAUGGCCGCGAGAAACUAACCCUAAUCCCUAAUAUGGCCUCGGGCAGCCUCCUCAAAGCCCAUUGGUCAUGAUUUUUGACCAAUAGGAAUGGAGAUUUUUAUUAUUUAUCUCCAUUCAUCCAUAUUGGUGCCCUAAUUAAUCCUUUUGCUAUCAAAACCCCCUUCUUCAUCCCUUUUCUUAUAAGAUUUUUACAAUGAGUCUUUUUAACACCAAAUAAAAAAUCCAAAAGAAGUUUUCAAAGGUCACCAAUGUCUAACAAAGGUGACUCUAAAUAUUUAGAAGUUACUAUCAACCAAAACCAAUCUUAAAAGCCACUAUCAAAAGAAAUUAAAGUUAUAAAAAUUCUAUAGUAAUCUUUUUAAACAACCUCUUCUCAAAGUAAUAAUCAAAUUAUAUCCUACAACCAACUAAAUCUACUAACAUGGCUCUUACCAUGUUACUUAAUAAAUUAUAUAUUAAGUACAUAAUUACAUUAUUUUCAUAUAGUAGCCGAACCACAACACGACAUCCACCCCCUCUAAACCUAUGCAUCUUCCCGUAUGCACCAAGAGAAUCAAAGUUGUGGUCGGCAUCAUGUUACGUCUUCAGCAAUGUCUUCUUCAAAAUCCAAUUCUUCUUCCUCAUAACUAGAUGGAUCAAAUUCUUCUUCAACAUCUUCAAGGAUUAAUUCUUGAUUCCGUUGUUUGAAAAUUUUUAUACGUUUUCCUGCAAUUGGGAUUUUGAGUCUUGUUCCGUCUAAUUUCCUUAAUGCAUAUGUAGCAUUAUGUAAAACAUGUACAACCACAUAAGGCCCAAACCAACGCUUAGAAAACUUUUUAAGAGCACUAUAUUGAUUAUCCAAGCUGUUGUCAUAUACCAAAAUCCAAUCACCUUCUUGAAUAUCUUUUGGCCUCAACCUGUGUCGCUUAUCAAAUCUAUCUUUAUUCUUCAAGCGUGACUCUCUUAACCUUAUAAUUGUUUUUUUCACAUCUUCAAGUCUUCUUUCUAGUUGACAAAUUUGAAGUACAAGAAGUUCUUCUUUAGAUAUAUUGUCUUGCCAAGGUAAGAUACUCCAAGUAGGUACUUGCUCUUCAAUGGGCAUAAUGGGCUUCUGUCCUUGCAUUAACUCUGCUGGCAUAUAUCCUGUCACUGAACUGUGAGUAGUCCGAUCAGCCCAAAGAGCAAAUGGCAAUAAUCUUGGCCAUUCUCUUACUCUUCCUUUGCAGGCUUUAACAAUGGCCUUUACAAUAGGAAGACGACCUCUCUCACUCUUAGCAUUGCCUUCUGAAUUAUAAGAUGUAGUAAGUGCUAGCUUGAUUCCACAUCUCUCAAAGAAUUGUCUAGCCUCAUCUGUAUCCAAUUCCCCACGAUCAGCAGUAAUUUUUCCAAUACAUCCAUAUCUACAAAUCACGUCUUCCAAUAAAAAUCUACAAACUCCUUCAGUGGAUUUUGUUCGUAGAGUUUUUCCUUCUACUUGGUUAGAUAAAUCUUCUCGUACCAGAGCCAAGUAUCGCAUUUUCCAUAUUCCCAUCGGCAUAGUAACGAGAUCUACAACCCAUUUAUAAUAUACUGCAAGUGGAUAUGUAGGAUGCAAUCCAUCUCUAUGUCGAAUCUCCGAGUAUAUAUGACAGGUUUGGCAUGAUUCUACAAACUUCACCACAUCUCUAUACAUAUUACGCCACCAAUAUUUUUCUUUGAGCUUGUUAAAGGUGGCAUAAAUACCUCUAUGUUCAGCCCACAAACUAUCAUGAAAUUUAUGGAUUAGUUGUUCUUGCAUCUCUUUCUUGCAAACUACUCUUUGUGGCAUUCCACUAUCCCGUUUGCAUCGCUUCCAUAGGUAACCACCUUGUAAGAGGUAAUUAUAAGCCUUUCGUCUAAUCUGCUUGAAAUAAAUAUCACUCCAUCCUGAUUGUCUUGAUAAUGUGCUUAAAUAGCGUCCAAUAUCAAUCCAUUCUUCUUCAUACAAUUCUUCUAUAAAUAGUCUUGGAUAUUCAUCUUCUCUUUGUUGUGCCCUAGAAUAAAAGGUAGUACCUAUAUCUUCAGUAUCUUCAAUCAAAUCUUCUUCUUAUUCAUAUCUGGCUCGGGAUAACAUAUCUGCUACAAGAUUAUCCUUGCCUGCUAUAUGCCUAAUUUCAGGAUUCAAAGAUUUAAUGUAUGCAAUCCAUCUUAGCAUAGCAAUAUCAGGGGUGUUACAAUUGGUAAUCAUUCCCAAUAGUGGCAAGCAAUCUGUUUCCACUAUCACUGGUGCUCCAAUUAAAUAAUCUCUUUCACUUUUCAUAGCUGUAAUUAUUCCCCAUAGCUCCCGUUUCACCUAAAGAUAGUUUCUUUGUCGUUCACUUAAUACUUUAGCUCCAAAUCUAAUGGCAAACCUAUUUCCUUCUUCAUCAUUUUGUCUUAAAGCCCAACCAACAGCUAUUGGACUAGUAUCAACUGUAAGUAUCACCGAUUUACCAUCCUCAUAACUUAUUCUUCGCAAUACAGAUGGAGAAGAUAAUAAUUGUUUUAACUUUUGAAUUAUUUCUGUAUGUUUUUUCUCCCAUUUAAAUCUCUUCCCUUUUCGUAGCAAACUAUAAAGAGGAUCAGCUACAUGUGCAUAAUGAAGAAUCCAUACACAAUAAAAUAUGCAAGCUCCUAAAAUCCUCCAUACUUCUAUUUCUGAGCUACAAAAAUCCUUCAUUCGUUGUAUAGCAUCCACCUUAUUAGGAUCAGGUUUGCAACCAAACCAUCCACAUAAAUGCCCUACAAUAACAACUUCUCGAAUUCCAAAAGUAGAUUUAGCUCCUGACAGUGUCAAGUGAACCUCCUCAAGUCGAGAUAAAAUUUUGUCACAGUCUAAAAUAUGAUUAGAUACAAAUUUACGGCACCCCUUCUGAUCUAUUGUUUCAUCUUUUUCUUCUUCCACACACCUUUUUAUUGGAAUAUCAUCCAAAAAGGGCAUAGUCUUUUUUGGAAUGAAAUCACAAAGAACCUUAUUCAUUCCAUUCAUCAUAUGAGCUACUGAAUUUGUUGCUCCUUGUGGCAAUGUACACAUCUUAACCAACCGUAAAGGUGUCCUCAUAGUAGUAACAUCUUUGCUUCCUUCAGCUAGUUGAAAUUGAUCAUAUCCAGAAUAAAGAUCUCCAACAGAGUAAAUAGCUCUACCAGCAAAUGCCUCAACAAAUUCUCCAACAAUUGGUCCAACUCCAGUAUUUCUAAUAGUUACUUGAUUUAUUGGUUGCAUAUCUUGAAUAAACCAUAGUGUUCUAUUUUUCUUUGGUACUAUAAACCAACGGCUAGAAUAUGGUGCAAAUGAUGGCUCGAGGAUCUUCAUUUACAUCUUUUCUUUUAAAAGCUUCAUAAGUUUAGGUAGAUGUGCUUUAGGCACUGAAAAUCUCUCUUUGUAAAUCAUUGCCAGCUGAUUGAAGAAAUAACUCCACCUUAUCAUUUUCAAGUGUGAGCUUUUCUACUCGAGACAAUUGAAGAAACUGUCUUUCAAACUCUCGAAAUAACUCUGUUGCAACCAAAUCCUUGUUGGAUUUAUUGACCCAUUCCAUAAACGAUUUUCUUGUCACCCUUUCUGCAUCUUUCAAAGAAUACUCUCUUUUUAGCUGAAGGGUAAAAUCCUCCCAUUUCUCUCCAUGAGUUUUAAUAAUCCCCUUUAUAUGCUCACGAAGCUCUGGUACAAUUGCAAGCUCAAAUGUUAGGAUCAUAUCUUUCUCCGGCACUUUAUUGAGCUCUAUCUCUCGAGAAUAAUACUUAAGAUACUUGGAAAUAUUUCUUCCAUCAAAUUCAUCCAAUAAACCAACAACAGAUUGUAAGGCUUUAGUAGCCAUUACCUCCUUGCGCUCCACAGCUUGCUGUUGUUGCAUAAAAAGUGUAAAUGCUUGAAACAUUUGAGUUGUAGUAGGAUCAAGUUGCAAUGGAGAUUCUCCAAUGCAAUUCCUACUACCACUUCCUUGCCCCCCUUCCAUAAUAAAAGCCAAAAUAUUUCUUCAAAGCUCUCUACCCCAGCAAUUUUCACGUCGGGUUCACAAAUCUAUCGUGUGACAUGUUUUUCAAUCUGAGAAUACACCAGGUAUCUAGCUGUAGAGAGUUUAGGUUUCCUUUGUAUAUAAUUCCUUAGCUCCCCAAAAAAAAAGCUCUUUGUUUUGUAUAAAAUGUCAAAAUAUAUUAAAAUUCUUCAAAAUAUAUUUCUUCCCGCCAAAGACUUUUUUACAUCAGACUUUGGAAAUUCAUAUAUGUUGAUCCAACCGUUCACUUUGUUUCAAAUUUCUUCCUAAGCUAGAUGCUAUACUUAACUUGUACCACAAAAAACUUGAACUGUACAUCUAUCACCGAUCGUUCGGCAUCUUAGAAACCCUAGCAGGUGCACAAAACCCUAACUUACAAGCACCCGAAAACUAUUUUCCUUAUAUCUCUUAAACCCAAGCUCCAAAUCACACAAAACUUAUGUAGAAAGCUUUAUAACAAGGUUACACACAAUCUUGGAAAUUUUGAGCUAAAACCUCAUCAAAUUGUCUAAGAUAUAGCUCAAAUCACAAGCACAAGUAAUUCGGGCUACUUACUACCCUUAGAUAUCAAGCACUGACUUCAACUGCCAAUAUCUCCUUCAUCAAAGCUUGGAAUUCGAUAAACAGUAUGCACAAAUUGUAGCCGAAAAAUUGCUCUCUUCAAAUCCGAUCGCCGAUCCUCGUUUGCUGUCCGUACGCGUGCGGUAUGCUCAAAAGAGUGACAGUACGUUGAAAACUUACACCUUAACUUUGAGCGCCUAUAACUUCUUCAUAUAAACCCCAAAUGACACAAAUUUUGCACCCAAACCAUAUCCAAAAACCUAAACCUUCUGACCUUAGCCUCAAAAACUCGAAUGGCCGCGAGAAACUAACCCUAAUCCCUAAUAUGGCCUCGGGCAGCCUCCUCAAAGCCCAUUGGUCAUGAUUUUUGACCAAUAGGAAUGGAGAUUUUUAUUAUUUAUCUCCAUUCAUCCAUAUUGGUGCCCUAAUUAAUCCUUUUGCUAUCAAAACCCCCUUCUUCAUCCCUUUUCUUAUAAGAUUUUUACAAUGAGUCUUUUUAACACCAAAUAAAAAAUCCAAAAGAAGUUUUCAAAGGUCACCAAUGUCUAACAAAGGUGACUCUAAAUAUUUAGAAGUUACUAUCAACCAAAACCAAUCUUAAAAGCCACUAUCAAAAGAAAUUAAAGUUAUAAAAAUUCUAUAGUAAUCUUUUUAAACAACCUCUUCUCAAAGUAAUAAUCAAAUUAUAUCCUACAACCAAC
rnacentral:lncRNA from 1 species